rnacentral:lncRNA from 1 species
UACCUCUCCCGCGGGGGGGGAAGGGGAUUGACUGCGCCCUGCUCCCCCCCCCCCCACUCGCGGGAGCGAACGGUUUAUCCCGGCCCCAGCGCUAAGGAGCCGCCAGCUCCGGGCGCCAUCUUGGGUGCGACUAAAACAACAAGUCCAAAACCCCCGGCGGGUCCCCGCGGCGCCCCCGGAUCGGGCUUCCCUCCCGGACCGUCCCAUCGCGUUACCUGAGGGGGUCCCGUGCGGGUGCCGCGUCCCGGCCGCUGCCGCCGGCCCCGCUGCGGCCCCAAACCCCCCCACCUGUCCUCACCUCACAAUGGUAGCUGCAGAGCGGGAGGGGGGGCGGCCGCCCGGACCUCAUUACCAUAAUCUGCCUGGCAACAAGUCGCGGCGCCGCGCGCUGAUUGGCUGAAACGCCUCCGCCCGCGAAGAUGGGGCACAAAAGUCCUCAAGAAAACACUCGGAGGAGGCCAGGUCAUGAAAUCCACAUCUCUACCCCUUCAUUUCUGCACUGCCUCUGCUGCAUGUGUCCCAUCUUGUCUCUUUUCUGUUGGGUUCUCUUAUGGCUCAUGGUUUGGUUGCCUUGAUAUCCAAAUGACUGAUCCUGCCAUCUACAGAGACUAAAUGACGCUCUUGCCAUCACAGUGGACUAGAAGAGAUGAAGAUGGCAGGAUCCUUCAGCCCCUUGUGGGAAGAUGCUACAAUGUAAGAAGCUUCUUCAGUGGUUUCCUUCAUCUCAGUGCUGCUGGACUUCCCACACCUUCUCUGCAGCGUGUUGCCCUACAGAUGGAAGACUGAGCUGCAAACCAGCAGAAACCCUAGACUUCGACCAGGGAAUCUUGCAGCCAAAUACAGAUAUCCAAUUCCAGAACAGUGAGCUGAGCACUGGUGGUCAGGAACAUGCUGUGUUGCAGCCUCGUGGCAGGACUUACAUGCUGGAGUGUCUGCAGUGUAGUACUAGGAGCAGAUUGUGUUACUGAAGGUGAGGUUGUGCUUAUCUGUGAGGCUUCCCCAAAAGCUGCCAGAUGGAAGUAGCUUUUCAGAAGAAUGAGGAUAACGCUGCUGUAAUCAAGCUGUCUCAUUAAAAAUACUCCAAAGUGAAUCAGGUACCUGUUUGGUAUGUCAUGCCUGCACUGGGGAAUGCCACUUACUUUGAUGUUAACAGCCAGUGUCCUAUCAUAAAGCAGUAUAUCCGUGUGGCUGUGGAAAUUCAGGUUGUCAUGAGGGCCCUCAUCCUUUCCAAGCCUCUGUACUCAAGACAUUUGUGACUUGAGCUGCGGGUUAUUACUGAGCACCUCUUGCAAUCAUGACCUUGGUUUCUGCUGUGCCCCAAAAAUCAAGUCUUCACAUAACCCAAAUUAAAAAGCAGCUCUUUUUGCCAUCCUCAAUAACACAGGGGUUGUGAACAUUAAUACCAAGCACUAUGUAAAUAUUAAAUAUCAAAAGUAUAUUAAUUUAUAUAGCACUAUAAAUGCUAUAUAAAUUCAACCUUGAAUGAAAGCCCUUAUCCAAAGAUUUCUAAAGAGCUUGUGCAUCUUGGCCUGGGGAGAAAGGAAAAUAUAUCCUUUUUUAAGAAAAGUGAAAAGCUCAACUCAAUGUCCUGCUAUUUACUGUGUGUAUUUAUAUUGCACAAUCAAGGAGUUGCAUUAAAAUGUAUCAGUUGCCAAAACUCCAUUUUCCAGCUAAAUUUGACCAAGCUGAAAAGGGAAUUAUAUAUGCCAGAGGACUGCAGUAAAAGAGAUUUAAGGGUUUUGAAAUACUGUAAAACAAGACUAUAAUAAGUGAGUAGUGGUCCAGUCAGCUGUUUUAAUUAAAACUGGGCUGCUUAUUGAUCUAUCAGAGAGAUUUACCCCCACCUGCAACACUUCAGCAAUAUUCCCUUCAACCAUUUAAGAAAAUAGUGUUUCUAAGGGACAUAUAAAGAAUAUAGAAGUGGAGAAUGGAAGUGUUUAACUAUGAGUUCGAUCUUUUUUCCAUCCCAUGUAAGCACCUUAUGUAUUUUCAUACAAAAAUGAAAGCGAGUAUGUAGAAUGUACAGGAUACUGCUUUUCUGAUGUAAUUCUAAUGGGUUUGCUGAUUGCUUUAAAGAGGUCUAAAAUACACUGCUUUCUCUCAUAUUUAUAAAGGUGUCAUGUCUAAAAAUGUUCUUGCCACUGAAACCAGUAGGAUCUUCUGUGGUUACAUCUUCAAGGUGGGAGUUUGCCAUGCCUCACGUGAUUGAAGGAAGUUCUCUGUGUGAAAGCCAAAGAAAAUGCUAAGAAGGCACUAAUAAGUGUUUGUCAUGAGUAUGGAAGGCUACUGUAUCAGCAGCUUGGUAGCUCUUUGUUCUAAAGGGCUUGAUUAUUUAAUUUCUUUCUAUAAAAGUAAUGUGGUGAAAUUGAAACAGUGUGAAAUUAAAACGGUAUCGAUGCAGAUUUGGCACCAUUGGUUUUGAAGUCUGAAAUAGGUCCUUAAAUAGCGCGAUCGGCUGUGGCAGAACAUGUGCAUGGGAAGAAGUCAGAGGCACGGCUGUUGAACCAACUGGUGCACAGACUGGAGAAGGUGGUGAUGAAGAUUGCGAUGAUGAUGGUGAUGAUGAUGGUUAUGAUGCUGUAUUGUAGAGAUGUGUCUAUUAACACAUAGGAAGAGCUUUGCCGUGUUCACACAGGUUUGUGGUGUGUGUAGUGCCCAGUGAGCAUCUGCCCUCUGUGUUGGUGACAGGAUGAAGCAACUGGUGAUUGUUAUACACCAGCUGUGGUUUAAGGAGAAAAAGAAAUAAAAACCUACCAAGCAC